GUGAGGAAUAUUGGUCAAUGGACGAGAGUCUGAACCAGCCAAGUAGCGUGCAGGAUGACGGCCCUAUGGGUUGUAAACUGCUUUUAUACAGGGAUAAAGUGCACUACGUGUAGUGUUUUGUAGGUACUGUAUGAAUAAGGACCGGCUAAUUCCGUGCCAGCAGCCGCGGUAAUACGGAAGGUCCGGGCGUUAUCCGGAUUUAUUGGGUUUAAAGGGAGCGCAGGCUGAUGAUUAAGCGUGACGUGAAAUGUAGCCGCUCAACGGCUGAACUGCGUCGCGAACUGGUUAUCUUGAGUGAGUUCGAUGUUGGCGGAAUUCGUGGUGUAGCGGUGAAAUGCUUAGAUAUCACGAAGAACUCCGAUUGCGAAGGCAGCCAACAAGGCCUUUACUGACGCUAAAGCUCGAAGGUGCGGGUAUCGAACAGG
rnacentral:rRNA from 1 species